CGGAUCGGAGUCUGCAACCCGACUCCGUGAAGCUGGAUUCGCUAGUAAUCGCGCAUCAGCCAUGGCGCGGUGAAUACGUUCCCGGGCCUUGUACACACCGCCCGUCAAGCCAUGGAAGCCGGGGGCGCUUGAAGUGCGUUGCCGCAAGGCGCGCCCUAGAGCGAAACCGGUGACUGGGGCUAAGUCGUAACAAGGUACC
rnacentral:rRNA from 1 species